AUGGGCGGCAGCUCCAACACGACCACGACCACGAGCGGCGGCGGCGCCGGCGGCGGCGGGAAGGACAAGGACAGGGACAGGGACAGGGCCAGGGGCUCCGCGGUCUCCUUCACGGAGGGCGAGAAGGUGCUCGCCUACCACGGCCCGCUCCUCUACGAGGCCAAGGUUCAAAAAACUGAAAAUCGGGAGGACGAGUGGCGGUAUUUCGUCCAUUAUCUUGGAUGGAAUAAAAAUUGGGAUGAAUGGGUCGCAAGUGAUCGUUUAUUGAAGUUGACUGAAGAGAAUGUUCGAAAACAACUAGAGCUGAAAAACCAGUCAGGGGACAAGACCGUCAGGACUGGUGGACGGUCAGCACAGCAUAACCCAAAAGGCUCUAAUGUGGAUGCAAAAGCCGAUAAAGAGGACACCAAGGGUCUUGUCAAGGGGAAGAAGCGCAAGAAUCAGCUUGGCGUUGAGGAAAAGGAAAGAAGAUCAUCAGAGAGUCUCCUAAUGUCACAGUUUCCUGUAACACUAAAGAAGCAACUUGUUGAUGAUUGGGAGUUUGUCACGCAGCUGGGUAAGCUUGUAAAACUACCUCGAUCGCCCACUGUUGAUGGUAUUCUAACGAAGUAUUUGGAGUAUCGGGUAAAGAAGGAUAACAAGAUAAGUGACUCUUGUGCUGAGGUAACAAAAGGAUUACGCUGUUACUUCGAUAAAGCAUUGCCUGCCAUGCUUUUAUACAAGAAAGAGCAAAAGCAGUAUAAGGAAGAAAUUAAAGGCGACGUUUCACCCUCGACUGUAUAUGGAGCUGAGCAUCUACUACGGCUGUUUGUGAAACUACCAGAGCUACUUUCUUCUGUGAACAUGGAAGAAGAUGCACUCAACAAACUGCAGCAGAAAUUACUGGACAUUCUCAAGUUUCUGCAGAAGAACCAAGUCCAUUUCUUCCUUUCUGCGUACGACGGCGAUUCCAAAGGCGCCGAUGGGGCAAAAGGCAAGUAG
rnacentral:rRNA from 1 species